AGAUUGAACGCUGGCGGCAUGCCUUACACAUGCAAGUCGAACGGUAACAGGUUAAGCUGACGAGUGGCGAACGGGUGAGUAAUAUAUCGGAACGUGCCCAGUCGUGGGGGAUAACUGCUCGAAAGAGCAGCUAAUACCGCAUACGACCUGAGGGUGAAAGCGGGGGAUCGCAAGACCUCGCGCGAUUGGAGCGGCCGAUAUCAGAUUAGGUAGUUGGUGGGGUAAAGGCCCACCAAGCCAACGAUCUGUAGCUGGUCUGAGAGGACGACCAGCCACACUGGGACUGAGACACGGCCCAGACUCCUACGGGAGGCAGCAGUGGGGAAUUUUGGACAAUGGGCGCAAGCCUGAUCCAGCCAUGCCGCGUGCGGAAGAAGGCCUCGGUUGUAACCGCUUUGUCAGGAAGAAAGGUUCUGGUUAAUACCGUGGACUCAUGACGUACGUGAAGAAUAAGCACCGCUAACUACGUGCCAGCACGCCGCGUAAUC
rnacentral:rRNA from 1 species